CGCUGAAACACCGGUUCUCGUUCGAUCACCGAAGUUAAGCAUCGUAGAGCCAGGUCAGUACUUAGAUGGGGGACCACUUGGGAACACCUGGUACUGUAAG
rnacentral:rRNA from 1 species